GAUGAACGCUGGCGGCGUGCUUAACACAUGCAAGUCGAACGGUGAAGCAGGAGCUUGCUCUUGUGGAUUAGUGGCGAACGGGUGAGUAACACGUGAGCAACCUGCCCCUGACUCUGGGAUAAGCGCUGGAAACGGCGUCUAAUACUGGAUAUGUGAUGUGACCGCAUGGUCUGCAUCUGGAAAGAAUUUCGGUUGGGGAUGGGCUCGCGGCCUAUCAGCUUGUUGGUGAGGUAAUGGCUCACCAAGGCGUCGACGGGUAGCCGGCCUGAGAGGGUGACCGGCCACACUGGGACUGAGACACGGCCCAGACUCCUACGGGAGGCAGCAGUGGGGAAUAUUGCACGAUGGGCGGGAGCCUGAUGCAGCAACGCCGCGUGAGGGAUGACGGCCUUCGGGUUGUAAACCUCUUUUAGCAGGGAAGAAGCGAAAGUGACGGUACCUGCAGAAAAAGCACCGGCUAACUACGUGCCAGCCGCCGCGGUAA
rnacentral:rRNA from 1 species